UAGGGAAUCUUCGGCAAUGGGGGGAACCCUGACCGAGCAACGCCGCGUGAGUGAAGAAGGUUUUCGGAUCGUAAAGCCCUGUCGUUAAGGAAGAACGAGUGUGAGAAUGGAAAGUUCAUGCUGUGACGGCACUUAACCAGAAAGGGACGGCUAACUACGUGCCAGCAGCCGCGGUAAUACGUAGGUCCCGAGCGUUGUCCGGAUUUAUUGGGCGUAAAGCGAGCGCAGGCGGUUAGAAAAGUCUGAAGUGAAAGGCAGUGGCUCAACCAUUGUAUGCUUUGGAGGCUGUUUAACUUGAGUGCAGAAGGGGAGGGUGAAGUUCCAUGUGUAGCGGUGACAUGCGUAGAUGUAUGGAGGAACGCCGGUGGCGAAAGCGGCUCUCUGGUCUGUAACUGACGCUGAGGCUCGAAAGCGUGGGGAGCGAACAGG
rnacentral:rRNA from 1 species